UACAGAGGGGGCAAGCGUUGUUCGGAAUUACUGGGCGUAAAGGGCGCGUAGGCGGCCUGUUAAGUCGAACGUGAAAUCCCCGGGCUCAACCCGGGAACUGCGUCCGAUACUGGCAGGCUUGAAUUCGGGAGAGGGAUGCGGAAUUCCAGGUGUAGCGGUGAAAUGCGUAGAUAAUCUGGAGGAACACCGGUGGCGAAGGCGGCAUCCUGGACCGAGUUGACGCUGAGGUCGCGAAAGCCAGGGGAGCAAACGGG
rnacentral:rRNA from 1 species